rnacentral:misc_RNA from 1 species
UCAGGUUCUCAAGGAAAGAAUUGCCUGGCUUGAAGCUGCAAAUGAGGAUCUUUGCCGAAAGCUUCAUGAAUACCGCAGCAGAUGUGCUGCAGUAGACCAAUGUGAAACAGAUACUCAAGUAUGUGAUAGAUAUUCUUAUAUAUUCUUUAUGAUUUUCUCCUUUCACUUAUAUGGCUCACUUGGACUGAAUUUGUACAUGCAAAUGAUUGUUAUAUGAAGUGUAGGCUUUAUCAGUGAUAAUCUAUGUAUGUGAAUCUGAAACUCUUUUUUUUAAGGAUGGUAGCACCUGUUAUGUUAAAGGCAAUGGGGUUAAAAGGAGUCUUCAUAGUAUAGAAUCAACAGAUUAUCAAAUGGGAGAA